rnacentral:rRNA from 1 species
CCUACGGGAGGCAGCAGUGGGGAAUAUUGCACAAUGGGGGAAACCCUGAUGCAGCAACGCCGCGUGAAGGAUGACUGCCCUACGGGUUGUAAACUUCUUUUAUCAAGGAAUAAAGUGAGGCACGUGUGCCCUUUUGUAUGUACUUUAUGAAUAAGGAUCGGCUAACUCCGUGCCAGCAGCCGCGGUAAUACGGAGGAUCCGAGCGUUAUCCGGAUUUAUUGGGUUUAAAGGGAGCGUAGAUGGGUUGUUAAGUCAGUUGUGAAAGUUUGCGGCUCAACCGUAGAAUUGCAGUUGAUACUGGCAGUCUUGAGUACAGUUGAGGUAGGCGGAAUUCGUGGUGUAGCGGUGAAAUGCUUAGAUAUCACGAAGAACUCCGAUUGCGAAGGCAGCUUACUAGACUGCCACUGACAUUGAUGCUCGAAAGUGUGGGUAUCGAACAGGAUUAGAUACCCUAGUAGUC